UUUUUUUUUUUUUUACUAUUGUUGGUUUUCUUUGGACAGGCGAUUACGAGCUGCCUCUUCCCCGACUUAGACCAUACACCUUUAAAGAUAUCAAGGAGCGGAAACCGCGAUCGAGGAAGAGAGUUAUUUUACCGGUUGAGGAAGGAGGAGAAAUGGGUCGUCCGAGUCUCAAUCUUGACGUCUACGAUGUUUCUGCGGUGCCUCUUACCGUGUCGCCUACGCGUGUUGACCUGUCUUCAGCUGAUACCCGGGCCCAACAGUCGAAAGACAAAAGACCGGCUAGAGAGACUUCGAGUAAGGUCGGUACUGAGGUCUUGAUGUGAGAUGGUAUUGUGGCAAAAGAAGCUUACGAUCGGAGGAAGAAAGACAAGGAGGCCGCUGAGACAUCGAAGAAGAGGAAGGAAGGCAGAAAUCUCGUGUGGAACAAAAGGAUAAAAGCUCGUUUGAUUCUGAUUUUCAGUACGAAUACGAACCGUGAAAGUGUGGCCAAUAAAUCCUUUAGACCUUCGAAUUUUGAUGUUAGAGGUGUUAGAAAAGUUACCACAGGGAUAACUGGCUUGUGGUAGCCAAGCGUUCAUAGCGACGUUGCUUUUUGAUCCUUCGAUGUCGGCUCUUCCUAUCAUUGUGAAGCAGAAUUCACCAAGUGUUGGAUUGUUCACCCACCAAUAGGGAACGUGAGGUGGGUUUAGACUGUCGUGAGACAGGUUAGUUUUACCCUACUGAUGAUCGCGUCGCAAUAGUAAUUCAACCUAGUACGAGAGGAACCAGGCCCUAUGUUGAAUUACUAUCGCGACGCGGGCAUCCAUAGU
rnacentral:ncRNA from 1 species